UGACCUCGGAUCAGGUAGGGAUACCCGCUGAACUUAAGCAUAUCAAUAAGCGGAGGAGAAGAAACCAACCGGGAUUGCCCCAGUAACGGCGAGUGAAGCGGCAACAGCUCAAAUUUGAAAUCCGGCCCCCCGGGGCCCGAGUUGUAAUUUGCAGAGGAUGCUUCGGGUGCGGCGCCGGUCUAAGUUCCUUGGAACGGGACGUCGCAGAGGGUGAGAAUCCCGUAUGUGACCGGCAGCCCGGCCCGGGUGAAGCUCCUUCGACGAGUCGAGUUGUUUGGGAAUGCAGCUCCAAAUGGGUGGUAAAUUCCAUCUAAAGCUAAAUACCGGCCAGAGACCGAUAGCGCACAAGUAGAGUGAUCGAAAGAUGAAAAGCACUUUGGAAAGAGAGUUAAACCGUACGUGAAAUUGUUGAAAGGGAAGCGCUUGCGGC
rnacentral:ncRNA from 1 species